rnacentral:misc_RNA from 1 species
GGCGGGGUCGGCCUGGAAGAGGGCGGCGAGCUCGGAGACUUUGAGGUCGGCGUAGAGGGUGUAGCCGGCGAGGGAUUGGCAGGAGUCUGUACCAGAGCAGGGCUCGAUUGUCGACUUGGAGACAGCGACUAGGGGGACGAGUAGGAGGAGCAGAGGGAGGAGGGGAGACAUCGCCGGCGGCGAGGGUUAGGGUUUCAGUGAGGGAGGAGCGGAGCUGUGAUUUUGG